rnacentral:rRNA from 1 species
GCUCAGCGCGAACGCUGGCGGCAUGGCUAGAACAUGCAAGUCGAACGCGAAACCGGCUUCGGCCGGGAGUAGAGUGGCGAACGGGCGAGUAAUGCGUUUCUAACGUGCCCCGAGGUCGGGGAUAGCUCACCGAAAGGUGUGGUAAUACCCGAUGACCUCCGCGGAUCGCAUGGUCUGCGGAGCAAAGGCUUGCUGCCUCGGGAUCGGGAAACGUGCUAUCAGGUAGUUGGUGGGGUAACGGCUCACCAAGCCGAAGACGGCUAGCGGGUGUGAGAGCAUGACCCGCCGCAUCGGAACUGAGACACUGUCCGGACUCCUACGGGAGGCUGCAGUAACGGAUCUUCCGCAAUGCGCGAAAGCGUGACGGAGCAAUGCCGCGUGCGGGAUGAAGCCCCUUGGGGUGUAAACCGCUGUCAGGGCCUAGGAAUUCUGACCAGGCCCAGAGGAAGGACCGGCUAACUUCGUGCCAGCAGCCGCGGUAAGACGAAGGGUCCAAGCGUUGCGCGGAAUCACUGGGCUUAAAGCGUGCGCAGGCGGGUAUGUAAGUGCCUUGUGAAAUCCCACCGCUCAACGGUGGAAUUGCAGGGCAUACUGCAUACCUUGAGGUCGGUAGAGGUGCCCGGAACUGUAGGUGUAGCGGUGAAAUGCGUAGAUAUCUACAGGAACGCCGAAGGUGAAGACAGGGCACUGGGCCGAUUCUGACGCUCAGGCACGAAAGCGUGGGGAGCAAACAGGAUUAGAUACCCUGGUAGUCCACGCCGUAAACAAUGUGUACUAGAUCCGGGAGGUUCUGACACCAUCCGGAUCGAAGCUAAAGUGUUAAGUACACCGCCUGGGGAGUACGGUCGCAAGGCUAAAACUCAAAGGAAUUGACGGGGGCUCACACAAGCGGUGAAGCAUGUUGCUUAAUUCGA